AACGAACGCUGGCGGCAGGCCUAACACAUGCAAGUCGAACGCACCGCAAGGUGAGUGGCGCACGGGUGAGUAACACGUGGGAAUGUACCCUUUGGUUCGGAAUAACGUUUGGAAACGAACGCUAAUACCGGAUGAGCCCUGUGGAGGAAAGAUUUAUCGCCAAAGGAGCAGCCCGCGUCUGAUUAGCUAGUUGGUGGGGUAAAGGCCUACCAAGGCGACGAUCAGUAGCUGGUCUGAGAGGAUGAUCAGCCACACUGGGACUGAGACACGGCCCAGACUCCUACGGGAGGCAGCAGUGGGGAAUAUUGGACAAUGGGCGGAAGCCUGAUCCAGCCAUGCCGCGUGAGUGAUGAAGGCCUUCGGUUGUAAAGGCUCUUUCGCACGCGACGAUGAUGACGGUAGCGUGAGAAGAAGCCCGGCUAACUUCGUGCCAGCAGCCGC
rnacentral:rRNA from 1 species